GUUGUCAGGGAAGAACAAGUACGGUAGUAACUGCCCGUACCUUGACGGUACCUGGCCAGAAAGCCACGGCUAACUACGUGCCAGCAGCCGCGGUAAUACGUAGGUGGCAAGCGUUGUCCGGAAUUAUUGGGCGUAAAGCGCGCGCAGGCGGCCUUUUAAGUCUGAUGUGAAAGCCCACGGCUCAACCGUGGAGGGUCAUUGGAAACUGGAAGGCUUGAGUGCAGAAGAGAAGAGCGGAAUUCCACGUGUAGCGGUGAAAUGCGUAGAGAUGUGGAGGAACACCAGUGGCGAAGGCGGCUCUUUGGUCUGUAACUGACGCUGAGGCGCGAAAGCGUGGGGAGCGAACAGGAUUAGAUACCCUGGUAGUCCACGCCGUAAACGAUGAGUGCUAAGUGUUGGGGGGUUUCCGCCCCUCAGUGCUGCAGCUAACGCAUUAAGCACUCCGCCUGGGGAGUACGGCCGCAAGGCUGAAACUCAAAGGAAUUGACGGGGGCCCGCACAAGCGGUGGAGCAUGUGGUUUAAUUCGAAGCAACGCGAAGAACCUUACCAGGUCUUGACAUCCCGCUGACCGGUCUGGAGACAGAUCUUCCCCUUCGGGGGCAGCGGUGACAGGUGGUGCAUGGUUGUCGUCAGCUCGUGUCGUGAGAUGUUGGGUUAAGUCCCGCAACGAGCGCAACCCUUGA
rnacentral:rRNA from 1 species